rnacentral:rRNA from 1 species
UACGUAGGGUGCGAGCGUUAAUCGGAAUUACUGGGCGUAAAGUGUGCGCAGGCGGCCAUGCAAGUCGAGUGUGAAAGCCCCGGGCUUAACUUGGGAAUUGCGCUCGAAACUACGAGGCUGGAGUGUGGCAGAGGAAGGUGGAAUUCCACGUGUAGCGGUGAAAUGCGUAGAGAUGUGGAGGAACACCAAUGGCGAAGGCAGCCUUCUGGGCCAACACUGACGCUCAUGCACGAAAGCGUGGGGAGCAAACAGG